UACAGAGGGUGCAAGCGUUAAUCGGAUUUACUGGGCGUAAAGCGUGCGUAGGCGGUUUGUUAAGUCGGUUGUGAAAGCCCUGGGCUUAACCUGGGAAUUGCAGUCGAUACUGGCAGGCUAGAGAACGGUAGAGGGAGGCGGAACUCCAGGUGUAGCAGUGAAAUGCGUAGAUAUCUGGAAGAACACCGAUGGCGAAGGCAACCUCCUGGGCCUGUUCUGACGCUGAGGCACGAAAGCGUGGGGAGCAAACAGG
rnacentral:rRNA from 1 species